rnacentral:rRNA from 1 species
UUUUUGACGCUGGCGGCAGGCUUAACACAUGCAAGUCGAGCGGAGAUGAGGUGCUUGCACCUUAUCUUAGCGGCGGACGGGUGAGUAAUGCUUAGGAAUCUGCCAUUUAGUGGGGGACAACAUCUCGAAAGGGAUGCUAAUACCGCAUACGUCCUACGGGAGAAAGCAGGGGAUCUUCGGACCUUGCGCUAAAUGAUGAGCCUAAGUCGGAUUAGCUAGUUGGUGGGGUAAAGGCCUACCAAGGCGACGAUCUGUAGCGGGGUCUUGAGAGGAUGAUCCGCCACACUGGGACUGAGACACGGCCCAGACUCCUACGGGAGGCAGCAGUGGGGAAUAUUGGACAAUGGGCGGAAGCCUGAUCCAGCCAUGCCGCGUGUGUGAAGAAGGCCUUUUGGUUGUAAAGCACUUUAAGCGAGGAGGAGGCUACUAGUAUUAAUACUCUGGAUAGUGGACGUUACUCGCAGAAUAAGCACCCGCUAACUCUGUGCCAGCAGCCGC